AAAACGAAUCUAAUUAACCUGAAUUUUAUACUUUGAUUUGUCGAAAUCAAUACUUUCAAAGUAUAUAUACCCAUAAUAACUGUAAGAUAUGGUUAUUAACAUGAAUUUAGCCUGGAUCUUAUUUACUUUAUUCUUUCCUGCUUUGAUUUGGGCAGCAUCGAAGCAUUAUCGCUGCGAUUUUCUACCUUUGGAGCGUGAAGAAGACCCUGAAAACGAUUGUGCAAAUAGAACUAAAGUAUGGAGCUAUAAUAGGGAUAAAAAUGUUUGUUCCUCUUGGGCAUAUUAUGGCUGCCAAAUCGAUGGCAAUAAGUUUCAUACUCGACGCAUAUGCGAAAUUGUUUGCAUUUUCCCAUCCAAAGAUUUUGCCACUAUUGGUCCAAGACCUGACAGGAAUGAAGUGCUAAAGAGAAAAGCUAUCGACGAAAAGGAAAAAAGAUAAGCAUACAUAUGUAUCUCAUUGAGAUGAAUGCAAAUUUUGGUUGGAUUAUUACAUUUUCAAAUGUACCUAGUGUUAUCUCUAUUUAUUAUCUAAUAUAUGCAACAAUCGAA